GGACAAUAGAGUUGUCAUCUGUGAGCUAGAAAAUUUGAAAAAAAAUAAGCCAUGAAGAUUUCAAGUCACUUUGUUCUAUUGUUCAUUGUUGGAAUUAUUACGAUGGUUAUUACAAUGCCAGCUGAUGGAAAUCGUAUCGGAACGUGUAUAAGAAACUGUGCGCAAUGUAAGAAAAUGUUUGGUCCGUACUUUGAGGGUCAAUUGUGUGCAGACACAUGCGUCAAGUU